AGGAUGGAGGAUGAAGACUGGGUUCUAGUGGAGCCAUCCACAGGGAAUACCAUCAAGGAACCAACCUGGAUGGACUCUGAUAGUCCUAGGCCGUUGAAGGUCACUUUUAGUGGGCCUGCCAAGUACUGGACCGACGCAAUUCCGAUCGGGAAUGGCCGACUUGGUGCCAUGAUCUGGGGUGGCGUCUCAUCGGAGAUUAUCCAGCUUAAUGAGGACACGCG
rnacentral:misc_RNA from 1 species